rnacentral:pre_miRNA from 2 species
CGGGUGGAUCACGAUGCAAUUUUGAUUAGAUUAGCAGGACGAAAAUUGCACGGUAUCCAUCUGUA